UACGAAGGGGGCUAGCGUUGUUCGGAAUUACUGGGCGUAAAGGGCGCGUAGGCGGCGUGUCAAGUCAGGCGUGAAAGCCCCGGGCUCAACCUGGGAACCGCGCUUGAGACUGGCAUGCUCGAGUUCGGGAGAGGAGAGUGGAAUUCCCGGUGUAGCGGUGAAAUGCGUAGAUAUCAGGAGGAACACCGAUGGCGAAGGCAGCUCGCUGGGACGGUACUGACGCUGAGGCGCGAAAGCGUGGGGAGCAAACAGG
rnacentral:rRNA from 1 species